GAUUUACAGAGUCGUGAGAAGGAAAUAAAAAUUAAGAUUGAAAAAGAAGAUUGGAAAGCUGGAAUGUGGAAUGCACGGAGUGAUGUAAAAGAACGAAACUUAACAACAGAACCACGGAAAAGGAAAAGUGUUCCUGGAAAAGAGGACUGCAAACUGGGAAAAAGAAACGACCUCACCUACACGUUUCAACCCUGACAAGGAGGAAGUUCAAGACAUUUAAAAAUACAAAUACAAAAAUUGAAUAAACUUUGGAGUUGA